rnacentral:rRNA from 1 species
GACGAACGCUGGCGGCGCGCCUAACACAUGCAAGUCGAACGGAGUUGUGUUGAAAGCUUGCUGGAUAUACAACUUAGUGGCGGACGGGUGAGUAACACGUGAGUAACCUGCCUCUCAGAGUGGAAUAACGUUUGGAAACGAACGCUAAUACCGCAUAACGUGAGAAGAGGGCAUCCUCUUUUUACCAAAGAUUUAUCGCUGAGAGAUGGGCUCGCGGCCGAUUAGGUAGUUGGUGGGGUAACGGCCCACCAAGCCGACGAUCGGUAGCCGGACUGAGAGGUUGAACGGCCACAUUGGGACUGAGACACGGCCCAG